AAGCAAACCUUUGUCUGAUUUACUUGAUCAACAGCCACCUCAACAUCUAAGUGAUUCAAACACUCUCCUCACCUCUGAACAAGAGAUUAAAGAUGCAUUUCUCCAGUACACAGCAACAAAGUUUUGCUAUAGGACUGCCCCUGCAAAGCAUUUAAAAGUCCAGAAGCUAACUCCUCUCAACACAUACAGAUAUCGGUUAGAGACUUUCACUGAAAGUAGAGACACACACUUGGCUAGUGAAUGCUAUUAUGGUGGAUUUGUGGACUCAGCUGAAGUUGCACCUCCGCCCUCCCC